AGCAGGUCGAUCGCGUAAAAAUUGUCUCAAUCUCACAUCCAAAAAUAUCCUUAAGGAUCGUUAUCGUUACAGUCCUUAUAACCGGUACCGCGUAAGCUUUUUCAGGAUUGUAGCAAUCGGUCGCAAUCAUGUAGCAAUAGGUCGCAAUCACGUGACUAUCGAUACUUUAGUGGUGGGUCAUACUUAUAAUCCGACUAAUUUGAAUAUCUAUGGUAACCUAGCAAUUUAUACGGCCAUAGUAGUCUUCCAAACUUGACUGCGUUGUAGCUAUUGAAAUAAAGUAUUACGAGUCUGUGCCCCGUGCCGCGGAAUAUGUGAAUUUGUGGUUCUUCUAGGUUCAUAGAGUAUUGUUUAUUUACACUUUUACGAUGAGUUGACUUUGUGACGAAACCUAAUAAAGUAAUUUAAAAGUCGAAACUAAAAAGGAAACUGGCACCCUACGGCCGCCUCUGUGAGGCAGCUUGAGAUUCUGUUAGAAGUUGCUGAAAGCAACUCAAAUAUUGCACUCGGUGGGCUCGGUGGAGGACCUCUCGGCCGCCAGUAUCGGAUACUGCUUAAGAGCCCCACAAAAGGCAAGGCUGGAGACUUGCGACGAGAAGCCACUGGCACUGGAGGUGGACCAAAUUUCAACACGUCUUUGACCCCCUAUCGAAGAACAAUAUAAGUAUAAUUGGGAACGUGGCAGUAGAGGGAGAACCCAAAAUCCAGAUUCCAAUAAAUGAAUCAUAGAUUCCUGACCUGCCUACUCAACCAAGUACAUCUACUGUACAUCACCAAUAUGAGAAAUCAUUAUUGAUGAGCAGCUUAGUGACAACUAUACAACAAACAGAGGAGCCUUCACAAAUAGAAGCUACACAUAACCGCUACAUAUUUCACUAGCAUUAGAAGUUUCUCAGUCUGUCUAUCAUGUUGAUACUGAGAUACCAGAAGUUAGCACACCAACCAGCACACAACACCAUCAGCCUUUAAGAAGUAAUAAACUUAUCCAAAUAUAUUUGAAACCUUUUCAUAGCCAUUGUUCACCUAACAACUAACAUUUUUUUUAAAUUCCAUUAAUAACAAGAUAUUAAGAUAAGCCUUUAUUAACUGAAUUGAAUUACAUUAAUGCUAUGUACAUAAUAUAUUUCAAAUAAAUAAAUAAUAUUUUAGUUUU